AGAUUUUGAUCCUGGCUCAGGAUGAACGCUAGCGGCAGGCUUAACACAUGCAAGUCGAAGGGCAGCGAGGGGAGUGCUUGCACUCCCUGUCGGCGACUGGCGCACGGGUGAGUAACACGUAUGCAACCUGCCCUCCACAGGGGGACAACCUUCCGAAAGGGAGGCUAAUCCCGCGUAAAUCCCGCGGAGGCAUCUCCGUGGGAGGAAAACUCCGGUGGUGGAGGAUGGGCAUGCGGCGCAUUAGGCAGUCGGCGGGGUAACGGCCCACCGAACCGACGAUGCGUAGGGGUUCUGAGAGGAAGGUCCCCCACACUGGUACUGAGACACGGACCAGACUCCUACGGGAGGCAGCAGUGAGGAAUAUUGGUCAAUGGACGCGAGUCUGAACCAGCCAAGUCGCGUGAGGGAUGACGGCCCUACGGGUUGUAAACCUCUUUUGCCGGGGAGCAAAGAGCGGGACGCGUCCCGCCUCGAGAGUACCCGGAGAAAAAGCAUCGGCUAACUCCGUGCCAGCAGCCGCGGUAAUACGGAGGAUGCGAGCGUUAUCCGGAUUUAUUGGGUUUAAAGGGUGCGCAGGCGGAAGCGCAAGUCAGCGGUAAAAUUGAGAGGCUCAACCUCUUCCCGCCGUUGAAACUGCGUUUCUUGAGUGGGCGAGAAGUACGCGGAAUGCGUGGUGUAGCGGUGAAAUGCAUAGAUAUUACGCAGAACUCCGAUUGCGAAGGCAGCGUACCGGCGCCCAACUGACGCUCAUGCACGAAAGCGUGGGUAUCGAACAGGAUUAGAUACCCUGGUAGUCCACGCAGUAAACGAUGAAUACUCGCUGUCCGGGGAGAUUGGUCUCUGGGCGGCCAAGCGAAAGCGUUAAGUAUUCCACCUGGGGAGUACGCCGGCAACGGUGAAACUCAAAGGAAUUGACGGGGGCCCGCACAAGCGGUGGAACAUGUGGUUUAAUUCGAUGAUACGCGAGGAACCUUACCCGGGCUCAAACGACGGAUGAAUACUUUUGAAAGGAGGUAGUCCUUCGGGACAUCCGUCGAGGUGCUGCAUGGUUGUCGUCAGCUCGUGCCGUGUGGUGUCGGCUUAAGUGCCAUAACGAGCGCAACCCCCAUCGCCAGUUGCCAACAGGUAAAGCUGGGAACUCUGGCGAGACUGCCGGCGCAAGCUGUGAGGAAGGCGGGGAUGACGUCAAAUCAGCACGGCCCUUACAUCCGGGGCGACACACGUGUUACAAUGGCAGGUACAGAGAGAUGCGACACGGCGACGUGGAGCGGAACUGUCAAAACCUGUCUCAGUUCGGAUCGGAGUCUGCAACCCGACUCCGUGAAGCUGGAUUCGCUAGUAAUCGCGCAUCAGCCAUGGCGCGGUGAAUACGUUCCCGGGCCUUGCACACACCGCCCGUCA
rnacentral:rRNA from 1 species